rnacentral:lncRNA from 1 species
GCCUUUUGCAGCUGAAACUUCACCACUUAGUUAAGCCCUCCCCUGCCAUCUGCUCGGCUCCAAAACUGCUGCAAAGGUUGAGAGGAACUGCUAAAAUUACAAAAAACCAUAUCUAUGAUAGAAAUUCCAUGGCAUGAAAUCUUCUCAUUUUUACAUCUUAUUGAACACUGGCUUCAGAGGACCAUACUCUUAAGAUCACCAAGGAUACUGUCUUCAAAGGCAGUCCUUUCAUCAACAGACGAUUGUUCACAAAAAUUCAUCUGAACCAACCUCAUAGUCCAUGCUUGCUCAUCUCAUCCCCAGCUCUGGGGCCAAUCAAGCCUGAGAGAAUUCAAGGAGACCUCAGUCAGUUUUGACAGCUUACUGUUAUCUUAGUCUGUUGGUACAUAUGAAAGUAACUUACACAGUGCUGGGCACACAGUAGGCAUUGUUCCUCAGGUCUAAUCGGUAGAUCUGCCCACGUUUAUGAGCAAAUUCAUUGUCUUGUGCCCUUGUUCAAGAAUCCACAUCAUUAUCUUUUCUCUAUGUCUCCAGUCUAUAAUUUGUCAGGAACUGAAGUUUCUUUUUUUUUCUUUUUGAGAUGGAGCCUCACUCUGUCACCCAGGCUGGAGUGCAGUAGUGGGAUCUUGGCUCACUGCAACCUCCGCCUCCCGGGUUCAAGUGAUUCUCCUGCCUCAGCCUCCCAAGUAGCUGGGAUUACAGGAACGUGUCACCACACCUGGCUAAUUUUUGUAUUUUCAGUAGAGACAGUUUUACCAUGUUGGCUAGGCUGGUCUUGAAUUCUCGACCUCAGGUAAUCCACCCACCUCAGCCUCCCAAAGUGCUGGGAUUACAGGCGUGAGCCACUGCGCCCGGCCAAGAACUGAAGUUUCUUUUAUGAUCAGUUCAGUCCAUCUAAAGUCCUGGCGAGGUCUUUCAUACUUGCUUCCAUGUCUCUCUAACGUUUACUCAUUCAAUAUAAGUGUUUAUUAGAUAAUUUUUGCCAGUGUCAAUGCUUGCCAUGGAGAUCCAAAGCGUCGUAGGUCAUGUUGCCUAGAAACAGAGAUUGAGAUAGGAAUUCUUAGGCAAGUAAUUUAGUGAGGGAAUGCUGCAAAGGUAGGAGGGAUACAGUAUAAGGUAGGGGAAGAAGCAAGGCAAUGAUGUGAUUUGAUGGGGCACUAUGGAGAGUGAAUUAUACCCAUACAGGUUAUUCUCCCCAUCAGCAAAGGUGCUGGGCUGUGAUAUCCCUGCCACCACCAGUGAUUGGCUAUGGACCACCCUGAGAGCAGGGAUGAGUGAAAGUCCAUGCAGACUCUCCAGCUUCUCCAGGCCAAGUGUAUGAGCAUGUGUACUGGUGAACACAGCUGUGUGAUGACUUUUGUGUGCUCUGGGCACUUUUGCCUUCUAAGGGCUCCUUCCUUCAUUAAACAAUAUAUUAAAAAUUAGGGUGGUGGGGCCAGGCACGGUGGCUCAUACCAGUAAUCCCAGCACUUUGGGAGGCCGAGGUGGGUGGAGCAUGAGGUCAGGAGAUGGAGAUCAUCCUGGCUAACAUGAUGAAACCCUGUCUCUACUAAAAAAGUACAAAAAACUUAGCCAGGCGUGGUGGCGAACACCUGUAGUCCCAGCUACUCGGGAAGCUGAGGCAAGAGAAUGGCGUGAACGUGGAAGGAGGAGCUUGCAGUGACCCCAGACAGCAUCACUGCACUCCAGCCUGGGCUACAGAGCGAGACUCCGUCACACACACACAAAAAAAAUUAGGGUGGUGGGCUGGGCAUGGUGGCUCACACCUGUAAUUCCAGCGCUUUGGAGGCCGAGGUGAGCACAUCACCUGAGGUCAGGAGUUCGAGAUCAGCCUGGCCAACAUGGUGAAUCCCCAUCUGUACUAAAAAUACAAAAUUAGCCAGGAGUGGUGGUGCGAGCCUGUAAUCCCAGCUACUUGGGAGGCUGAGACAGGAGAAUUGCUUAACCCAGGAGGCAGAGGUUGCAGUGAACCGAGAUAGCACUACUGCACUCCAGCCUGGGCAAUAAGAGUGAAACUCCAUCUCAAAAAAAAAAAAAAAAAAUUCGGGUGGUGAUGACCCCAACAUUCCAUCUGAAUGCCUGUGCUGAAACCCAGAGGCUGUUUCUGAACCACUGCAUAAAAAAGCAUUAAAAUUAAAUUUUAUGACUGCAUUGAUAUACAUAUGAAUAUAAUCCAGGUUGGAAUAUAUUUGUUUAUUUAUUUUUAGAUUUUGAAAGAGAUUAAAACAUUUUCAUGGGUUUCUAAAAGUAUCAUGGGAACUUGGCAUUGUGCCUACUGUGUGUAAUGGAUAAACUGACCCUGUUAGUGAAGUUGGAAUCCUGUGGAGAGCCAGCCCUGUGUGGUUCAGGGAUGCUGGGGUGCCAAGUGUGUAGCUGGUUCUGUGUCUGGUCUUUGCUUCCAUUUCCUACCUGCCUGGAUUCCAACUAAACCUAUUACCUUCUUUUUCUAAAGUCCCUGCUCUACUGAGACUGUACUGGGUUGAACAACAGUGUCCCCCCAAAAUUUAUGUCCUCCUGGAACCUCAGGAUGUGUCUUAUUUAGAAAUAUAAUCCUUGUAGAUAUAAUUAGUUAAAUUUAGGUGAAUGUCCUGAAUUAGGGCCCUAAAUUAAAUGACUGGUGUCCUUGGAAGUGGGGAGAACACAGAGGGAGGGCAACGUCACAGCCAUUGACUAUGGAGGCAGAGAUUGGGGUGAUACAGCCAGAAGCCAAGGAAAGCCAAGUUUCCCAGCAAUUACCAGAAGCUAGAAGAGAGGCAUGGAACAGUUUCUUCUUUAGAGCCUUCAGAGGGAGCAUGCGCCUGCUGACACCUUGAUGCUGAAUUUCUAGCCUCCAGAAUGAUGAGAGAAUACUUUUU